AAAGAAUUCUGGGCUGUCUGAAAGAUUUGGAAAGCUCUCUCGUCAGGAUGGGGGUCUCCCGGCUGAAGGCUGGAAGCUUUUUAAAGAUGCCGUCACUGCACUUGCUCCUCUUCACGUCCAAUACCUUCUCUGUAAUUGAGGGUGAUGCCUUCAUCGGCCUGUCCUACCUGCAGUACCUCUUCAUUGAGGACAACAAGAUCGGCUCCAUCUCUAAGAACGCCCUGAGGGGACUCCGCUCACUGACCCACCUGUGUGUAUCUGCACAGUCCAGACCUCCACUGUAGGCAGCCCGACCCACCCUCAAGGCCAUAGCGUCUUCUGGCCCUGGCUGACACUCUUUCCUCUCCCCGCUCCAUCAGCAUUCUGGGCAGCGACUUCGCCUUCAGCCAAGUC
rnacentral:lncRNA from 1 species